rnacentral:lncRNA from 1 species
UAUAAUCUAGUGAUUUAACUUUCAGAAUGUUGCUUAAUGAUAAUCUUAUUGAUUCAUCAAUUUCUGCAUAUUUGAAUCUCUGCAAAAGGAUUUAUGUCUAAUACUUGUUAUAUAUUAAUUUGUUUUGCACAUUUACUUUCUUGUUUAGCUUUAGAAAACAAACAAAUGACAUCGAGCUAAUUUCUGAAUUGGCUAAUACGAAAAGAGUUUAUGUUCCCCAAUUACCUUCGCAUGGGCUAAUAUGUCUAAAGCUUCCUUUCUUUUUCUUUUUUU